rnacentral:rRNA from 1 species
UACGUAGGGGGCUAGCGUUGUCCGGAUUUAUUGGGCGUAAAGAGCGUGUAGGCGGCCAAGUAGGUCCGGUGUGAAAACUCGAGGCUUAACCUCGAGACGCCGAUGGAAACCAUCUGGCUAGAGUCCGGAAGAGGAGAGUGGAAUUCCCGGUGUAGCGGUGAAAUGCGCAGAUAUCGGGAAGAACACCCGUGGCUAAGGCGGCUCUCUAGUACGGUACUGACGCUGAGACGCGAAAGCGUGGGGAGCGAACAGG